rnacentral:tRNA from 1 species
CGCGCCCGUAGCUCAACGGAUAGAGCGUCGGCCUCCGGAGCCGAAGGUUGGAGGUUCGAGUCCUCUCGGGCGCGCCAU